CCUACGGGAGGCAGCAGUGGGGAAUCUUGCGCAAUGGGCGAAAGCCUGACGCAGCCAUGCCGCGUGAAUGAUGAAGGUCUUAGGAUUGUAAAAUUCUUUCAGUAGGGACGAUAAUGACGGUACCUACAGAAGAAGCCCCGGCUAACUUCGUGCCAGCAGCCGCGGUAAUACGAAGGGGGCUAGCGUUGCUCGGAAUUACUGGGCGUAAAGGGAGCGUAGGCGGGUUAUCAAGUUGGAGGUGAAAGCCCAGGGCUCAACCUUGGAAUAGCCUUCAAAACUGAUAACCUAGAGGAUGGAAGAGGUAAGUGGAACUCCGAGUGUAGAGGUGAAAUUCGUAGAUAUUCGGAAGAACACCAGUGGCGAAGGCGACUUACUGGUCCAUUACUGACGCUGAGGCUCGAAAGCGUGGGGAGCAAACAGGAUUAGAUACCCUGGUAGUCCACGCUGUAAACGAUGAUUGCUAGUUGUCGGCAGCAUGCUCGUCGGUGACGCAGCUACGCAUAAGACAAUACCGCCGUCGGGUAGGUACGGUCGCGAGAUUAAACUACAAAGAAGUAGACGGCGUGAGACGUGCCGACGGACGACGACGAGGGAGGUAGG
rnacentral:rRNA from 1 species